UACGUAGGGUGCAAGCGUUGUCCGGAAUUAUUGGGCGUAAAGGGCUCGUAGGCGGUCCAUCGCGUCGGGAGUGAAAAGCUGGGGCUUAACCCCAGUCCUGCUUCCGAUACGGGUGGACUAGAGGUAGGUAGGGGAGAUCGGAAUUCCUGGUGUAGCGGUGAAAUGACGCAGAUAUCAGGAGGAACACCAGUGGCGAAGGCGGCUCACUGGACCGGUACUGACGCUGAUGCGCGAAAGCGUGGGGAGCAAACAGG
rnacentral:rRNA from 1 species